GGGGAAUUGUUCGCAAUGGGCGCAAGCCUGACGACGCAACGCCGCGUGGAGGAUGAAGAUCUUCGGGUCGUAAACUCCUUUCGAUCGAGACGAACGGCCCUCGGGAUAACACCCUGAGGGAGUGACGGUACCGAGAGAAGAAGCACCGGCUAACCCCGUGCCAGCAGCCGCGGUAAUACGGCGGGUGCGAGCGUUGUCCGGAAUCAUUGGGCGUAAAGGGCGCGUAGGUGGCCCGGUCAGUCUUUGGUGAAAGCGCGGGGCUCAACCCUGCGUCGGCCAGGGAUACUGCCGCGGCUCGAGCACUGUAGAGGCAGGCGGAAUUCCGGGUGUAGCGGUGGAAUGCGUAGAGAUCCGGAAGAACACCGGUGGCGAAGGCGGCCCGCUGGGCAGGAAGGCUUCGUAAGAGGCCGGCUGACGCUGAGGCGCGACAGCGUGGGGAGCAAAC
rnacentral:rRNA from 1 species